GAGCUAUGAUGAUAACUGUGUCAACUGUGAUAGAUGGGUCUGUCACUACGUUCUUAGACGAAAGGUGGCACACCUGAGCUC
rfam:Glycine max cultivar Williams 82 chromosome 14, whole genome shotgun sequence.